rnacentral:rRNA from 1 species
CCUACGGGAGGCAGCAGUGGGGAAUAUUGGACAAUGGGGGGAACCCUGAUCCAGCGACGCCGCGUGAGUGAAGAAGUAUUUCGGUAUGUAAAGCUCUAUCAGCAGGGAAGAAAAUGACGGUACCUGACUAAGAAGCCCCGGCUAACUACGUGCCAGCAGCCGCGGGAAUACGUAGGGGGCAAGCGUUAUACGGAUUUACUGGGUGUAAAGGGAGCGUAGACGGUGCAGCAAGUCUGAUGUGAAAGGUCGGGGCCCAACCCCGGGACUGCAGUGGAAACUGUUGAACUGGAGUGCAGGAGAGGUAAGCGGAAUUCCUGGUGUAGCGGUGAAAUGCGUAGAUAUUAGGAGGAACACCAGUGGCGAAGGCGGCUUACUGGACUGUAACUGACGUUGAGGCUCGAAAGCGUGGGGAGCAAACAGGAUUAGAUACCCGAGUAGUC